rnacentral:rRNA from 1 species
GAUGAACGCUAGCGGGAGGCCUAACACAUGCGAGCCGAGCGGUAUUUGUUCUUCGGAACAGAGAGAGCGGCGCACGGGUGCGGAACACGUGUGCAACCUGCCUUUAUCUGGGGGAUAGCCUUUCGAAAGGAAGAUUAAUACCCCAUAAUAUAUUGAGUGGCAUCAUUUGAUAUUGAAAACUCCGGUGGAUAGAGAUGGGCACGCGCAAGAUUAGAUAGUUGGUGAGGUAACGGCUCACCAAGUCAAUGAUCUUUAGGGGGCCUGAGAGGGUGAUCCCCCACACUGGUACUGAGACACGGACCAGACUCCUACGGGAGGCAGCAGUGAGGAAUAUUGGACAAUGGGUUAGCGCCUGAUCCAGCCAUCCCGCGUGAAGGACGACGGCCCUAUGGGUUGUAAACUUCUUUUGUAUAGGGAUAAACCUACUCUCGUGAGAGUAGCUGAAGGUACUAUACGAAUAAGCACCGGCUAACUCCGUG